rnacentral:rRNA from 1 species
GACGAACGCGGCGGCGUGCCUAAUACAUGCAAGUGGGACGCAAGGGAACACACUGUGCUUGCACACCGUGUUUUCUUGAGUCGCGAACGGGUGAGUAACGCGUAGGUAACCUGCCUAUUAGCGGGGGAUAACUAUUGGAAACGAUAGCUAAUACCGCAUAAUAUUAAUUAUUGCAUGAUAAUUGAUUGAAAGAUGCAAGCGCAUCACUAGUAGAUGGACCUGCGUUGUAUUAGCUAGUUGGUAAGGUAAGAGCUUACCAAGGCGACGAUACAUAGCCGACCUGAGAGGGUGAUCGGCCACACUGGGACUGAGACACGGCCCAGACUCCUACGGGAGGCAGCAGUAGGGAAUCUUCGGCAAUGGACGAAAGUCUGACCGAGCAACGCCGCGUGAGUGAAGAAGGUUUUCGGAUCGUAAAGCUCUGUUGUAAGUCAAGAACGUGUGUGAGAGUGGAAAGUUCACACAGUGACGGAGCUACCA